UACGUAGGGUGCAAGCGUUAAUCGGAAUUACUGGGCGUAAAGCGUGCGCAGGCGGUUUUGUAAGUCUGACGUGAAAUCCCCGGGCUCAACCUGGGAAUUGCGUUGGAGACUGCAAGACUAGAAUCUGGCAGAGGGGGGUAGAAUUCCACGUGUAGCAGUGAAAUGCGUAGAGAUGUGGAGGAACACCGAUGGCGAAGGCAGCCCCCUGGGUCAAGAUUGACGCUCAUGCACGAAAGCGUGGGGAGCAAACAGG
rnacentral:rRNA from 1 species